rnacentral:rRNA from 1 species
CCUACGGGUGGCAGCAGUGAGGAAUUUUGUUCAAUGGGCGCGAGCCUGAACCAGCCAAGUCGCGUGAGGGAUGACGGUCCUACGGAUUGUAAACCUCUUUUGCCGGGGAGCAAGCGUUCGUUCGUUAACGCACGUCGAGAGUACCCGGAGAAAAAGCAUCGGCUAACUCCGUGCCAGCAGCCGCGGUAAUACGGAGUGUGCGAUCGUUAUCCGGAUUUAUUGGGUUUAAAGGGUGCGUGGGCGGGAUGCCCAGUCAGCGGUAAAAAUGCGGUGCUCAACGCCGUCGAGCCGUUGAAACUGGCGUUCUUGAGGGGGCGAGAAGUAUGCGGAAUGCGUGGUGUAGCGGUGAAAUGCAUAGAUAUCACGCAGAACUCAGAUUGCGAAGGCAGCAUACCGGCGCCCUACUGACGCUGAGGCACGAAAGCGUGGGUAUCGAACAGGAUUAGAUACCCUGGUAGUC